GGCCUUCAGACUUGGAUUGGUACUAUAUCAUCAGCUCUCCUGGGUCUCCAGCUUGCUGACUGUGGAUCUUGGGACCUAUAACCAUGUACAGCCGUUGGACAAGACUGGGAUACCAAGAGCCUUAAAUGAUCUCCCACCACUUCGGCAUCUUCUUGUGUGUCUCCUGACAUAAGCACUCUGCACCCAGCACCUUCCAGGACGGCCGGCUUACACCAGUGGGCAGUGAUGACAUCCGUGGAUGAGUGGUGGGUCUAGGGAGACUUGCUGGAGGCGGUGGUGAGGGGCUCCAGCACUGUGUCGUCUCCCCUUGAGAACAAUGGAGAAGAAGAGCCCACUUUUCUUCUGCACCGCAGAGAGACCCAGAGCCGGAGCCGACUCAGGAGCAGGUGGGAGUCUCAAUUGCCCUCAUUUCGCUUCCUGCUCGGCCUGGUGGGGAAGACGCCGGGAAGGGGAAUGGGGCGUCACUGCCCUCCCGCUACAAUUAGCUGAGGCUUUCAUUCUUCUUCUACAAAGAGGAGAGCGCAAAUCAAAGGGAGAUAAAAGUGCAGGUCCCACAAAGGACAUCGAGAUGAGGGGGAAGGAAGGGAGGGUGGUGGGACAGAGAGGCAGAGGCAGAGAGAAAGCCCUGCGGCCCAAACAAAAGCCCAAAGCCCGCUGAUCCCAAGGAUCAGACAGUGGAGACGCAGGGACAGGAAGAGAGCAGACCGCGUGGGGAUCAGCGGCCCCGUCAGCCAAGGAGGAGAGGGAGCGAAGGAAGAUGAAACACCGGUGUGAAUGGCCAGGGAAGAGGGUGGAGAGGGACCCCAAAUGGAGUUGGGACAAAAGCAUGAAAAGACAAAAUUGCCACCAUCCCACGGGCACUCCCCCCAGGGAAAGCAAAGAGGGGCUGGAGACAAAGGCGGGGAGAGGAAGGCAGAAAGGGAGGGGGCCCAGCCAACGGGCCUGUGCUGGAGACGGGGCCAUGAGCUUGGGCCACUCAGCGGUGCGUUCUCCAUGGGGCCAGCCGAGGCUCCGAGGGGGAAGGGGGAAUCGGGGACUGGCCUAUAUUUGAUGAGAGAAUCCUACCUGAGCAGCUUCCUUGUAUUUGAACUUCCUACAAAUAGAAUUGAAGAGAUGAAGACACAAGAAUCCUGUGGUCAGUGAGCCUUCCAACACGCAUGCUCUUGUGUCUGGCUUCCUUCUCUCAACAUCGUGCUGCCUGUGGUGUAGAUGUCAUUGUCGUUGCUGUAUACUAUUCCACGGUGUGAAUAAUAUAUGUAUGUAUACAUAGCCAUUCUUGUGCCUAGUGGAGGCUUUUCAUCAGGUCUACAAUCUCUUAUCUGAACCCUUAGGACCAGAUGUGUUUCAGAAUUUUGGAAAGAUGGUAAACAAAGAUGUGAGGCACAAAUACUGUGUUACACAACUCCAUGUGCCUGUGUGCAGAAGUCCCCUCUGAUCAGAUGCACGAAUGUUUCUACAAGGAAAUGUAUGAAGGCUCAUCUUAGAAAUAGCUUCAUGUUAGGGUGGGUUUUGCCACCCUGAUGAGUUCUGGCCAGAUUGGGUUAUGCCUCCAAAUAAAAGAUGGCAUUUUUGGUUUUCAGGGCUUUUGUUGUUUCAGAAUUCAGAACAUGGUGUGGCAGACCCAUCGGGUACUCAUUCCCAAUAAAAUUAGCUUCAGGAAACCCUGGCAGAACGAGGGGUUCAAUACCAUGAUAUGGGGAUCAGCAAAAAUCAGAAACAAAGGUCCAACAGUGUGUAAGCCAUGAGACGCUAUCCAGAAGGAUGUUGAAGUCGGCUGAAUUCAGGCUCAAACCCUGCUGUGUGAGAAAGAGGAGACUCCUGUGUACUUCUGGAAGAUUUACUCCCUGAUUGCCCCAUCCCAUCUGAACACUGUAAACCUUU